rnacentral:rRNA from 1 species
CCUACGGGUGGCAGCAGUGAGGAAUAUUGGUCAAUGGCCGAGAGGCUGAACCAGCCAAGCCGCGUGAGGGAAGAAGGCCCUAAGGGUUGUAAACCUCUUUUGUCGGGGAGCAAAGUGAGUAACGAGAGACUCAGUGAGAGUACGCGAAGAAAAAGCAUCGGCUAACUCAGUGCCAGCAGCCGCGGUAAUACGGAGGAUGCGAGCGUUAUCCGGAUUUAUUGGGUUUAAAGGGUGCGGAGGCGGAGGUGAAAGUCAGUGGUCAAAUUGCGGGGCUCACCCCCGUCCUGCCGUUGACACUGCCUCCCUUGAGUUCGCGAGAGGUAUGCGGAAUGC